AACAGGAUUGGCGAUUUUUAGUUGUAUGCCAACAACAUUAUCUAGUGGAGUUGCACUGACCCAGCUUGUCGGUGGGAACUCUGCUCUUGCUCUUGCAAUGACUGUGAUAUCUAAUCUAUUGGCUAUUUUGGCAGGGAAAAUUGCAGACACAAGUAGCAAUUUCGUUUCUAGGCCAAAGAGAGAGCUUGUUUACAUUACCCUUGCUUGUUGGCUAGUAGUCCUACCGUAGGUAGUGUGAAAUACGUUGAAAGGUAAAAGUUCUAUUUGUCUUCAUUUUUUUCCUCUGACAAUUGUAAUUUUUUUGGUGUACAAAAAGAUGCCAAAUUCCCUAUUUACCUCCUGAAAAUAUCUAUGUGUUGUUAGACUAAAAAUGAUCAGAUAUUUUCCUCUACUUCUAAAGGAAUGUGUAAUCAUUUGAUUUGUUUAACUGUUUUCAAGCAUCACCAUUUAUAGUAAUGCAAUUAAAUGCAUUUCAGACCUCCAUUGUACUGUGAGUUGUAUCAACUAAGCAGAACUUCUUGCAUAUAUGCCUGCUAUGGAAUCUGUUGUAAAUUUGUUCUGGAAUUAGGCAAUUAUAGAUGAAAAAAAAGAAAGAGAAAGUGGGAGAGAAAUUGGACAGUUUAAAUGUUGUUCAGCAAUAUGCCUAUGUCCACAGGACAGCUGCAUAACAUUAGUAUCAUAAAAAAUCUAUCUGGGGUUACAGAUGACUUGUAUUUUUUGUGUAUCAGCCUCAAAACUCUAACCUACCACAUUGAAUUUCCCAAAAUACAUUUAACUUAUUGCGGAUGCUACGUUAAUGUCCUCCCCGGGCAUUAUAUAAUAUGUAUAAGCCACUGGCUCCCUGACACAUAGGAGUCUGCCAGAGUCCCAAGCAAGACUUGCUGUUCUCCCAAACAUUAUUCCUCCUAAUUGGCCAUCUUCCCGACGGGACCAAGAGUCCUAUUCCUCCAGAAUUUCAUGUAUCAAAUUACUCUGUCCAAUCUUGGCAUUGAAUAUGUGCCACCAUCUCCGAAAGAAUGAUAUGGCUUUGAUUAGCCAGAUAAUGAGUGGUUAAAAAAAAAAAAGGAUAAGACUCGUUAUUGUUUAUUAAAUACCUCUAGCUAUCAUAAUUUUUAUUUCCCCAAAAUAUCUGACUAUGAUUGGUUUAUAGGUCUGGCAACAUGCAUUGAUCAGAAUCAAAGGAUUUUCUCAAUGAUGAGUACUGUCCUUCUUAGUCUUACGCCAUGGAUGCAAGUAAGCAAGUUCAGACUCUUGAUUUUAAUGUUAAAGCCAAAAGGAUUUAUUGAAGCUAUGGGAAUGGGAAUUAAAGUGCAUGUCAGCCGGCUUUGGUGGUGGAGAAUCCAUUUUAUCAAAGAAAGAGAAUUUCCGCGCUCUCUUAAUAGUUUGUAGCCAGAAAGCUCUGCUCAUCGUUGUAGCUGUAGUGGAUCAGCUCAGUGGUGUAGUUGGUGAAACAGGGCUGUUAGUUCUUCCUUGUGUUGUGGCACAUAUUAACCAGGUCAUCAUUGAUUCAGUACUAGUAAACUUUUGGCUCUGGAAAGAUCUGUCAUACAACAAAGAUUUUGAAGCAUGACCCUCCUUAGUUGAUGUGCAUUUUGCAAAUUUGUUGUGCUUUUGAGAAUAAUUUUUGAAGGAGAUUAAAUUACAUACCACCAACGCCCCCCCCCCCCCCCCCCCCCCCCACACACACACACACACACACAAAAAAACAAAGAAAAUUGAAAGCUCUUGGUAAGUAUUAUUGCUUGAUCUCAUGCACAUCUUUAGGAAAAUGAAUCAAAUCCUUAAAGCUGGACCAUCCAUUUCCAAAGACUUGGAUCUGUUUGAAGAAUUACAUUCAGCAACACCAAAUCAAUCACCAAAACUUAUCCCUUUUGAACCUCAACUUUGUUUGAGAUUAAAAAAAAAAAAAAGAAUGUAAAGGAUUUUAACCAUAGAACUAGCAGAGCAUUUGUGAAAUUGAAAGGUGUUCUUGGCAGAUACGACACGCUUUUGAUGCACAUAAUUUGAUAGCUACCCCUUAAUCUUUGCUAGUAAUUAUUUUA